GACUAACGCUGGCGGCGUGCCUAACACAUGCAAGUCGAACGGACCCUUCGGGGUAAGUGGCAGACGGGUGAGUAACGCGUAGGUAAUGUGCCCUUUUGCUGGGGAUACCUGUCCGAAAGGACAGUUAAUACCGAAUACCCUGAUCUGGGGCAUCUCCAAAUCAGGAAACCGUAUGGCGAGAGGAGCAACCUGCGUUCUAUCAGCUUGUUGGUGGGGUAACGG
rnacentral:rRNA from 1 species